rnacentral:rRNA from 1 species
GACGAACGCUGGCGGCGUGCUUAACACAUGCAAGUCGAACGGAAAGGCCCUGCUUUUGUGGGGUGCUCGAGUGGCGAACGGGUGAGUAACACGUGAGUAACCUGCCCUUGACUUUGGGAUAACUUCAGGAAACUGGGGCUAAUACCGGAUAGGAGCUCCUGCUGCAUGGUGGGGGUUGGAAAGUUUCGGCGGUUGGGGAUGGACUCGCGGCUUAUCAGCUUGUUGGUGGGGUAGUGGCUUACCAAGGCUUUGACGGGUAGCCGGCCUGAGAGGGUGACCGGCCACAUUGGGACUGAGAUACGGCCCAGACUCCUACGGGAGGCAGCAGUGGGGAAUAUUGCACAAUGGGCGGAAGCCUGAUGCAGCAACGCCGCGUGCGGGAUGACGGCCUUCGGGUUGUAAACCGCUUUCGCCUGUGACGAAGCGUGAGUGACGGUAAUGGGUAAAGAAGCACCGGCUAACUACGUGCCAGCAGCCGCGGUGAUACGUAGGGUGCGAGCGUUGUCCGGAUUUAUUGGGCGUAAAGGGCUCGUAGGUGGUUGAUCGCGUCGGAAGUGUAAUCUUGGGGCUUAACCCUGAGCGUGCUUUCGAUACGGGUUGACUUGAGGAAGGUAGGGGAGAAUGGAAUUCCUGGUGGAGCGGUGGAAUGCGCAGAUAUCAGGAGGAACACCAGUGGCGAAGGCGGUUCUCUGGGCCUUUCCUGACGCUGAGGAGCGAAAGCGUGGGGAGCGAACAGGCUUAGAUACCCUGGUAGUCCACGCUGUAAACGGUGGGUACUAGGUGUGGGGUCCAUUCCACGGGUUCCGUGCCGUAGCUAACGCUUUAAGUACCCCGCCUGGGGAGUACGGCCGCAAGGCUAAAACUCAAAGGAAUUGACGGGGCCCCGCACAAGCGGCGGAGCAUGCGGAUUAAUUCGAUGCAACGCGUAGAACCUUACCUGGGUUUGACAUGGAUCGGGAGUGCUCAGAGAUGGGUGUGCCUCUUUUGGGGUCGGUUCACAGGUGGUGCAUGCCUGUCGUCAGCUCGUGUCGUGAGAUGUUGGGUUAAGUCCCGCAACGAGCGCAACCCUUGUUCACUGUUGCCAGCACGUUAUGGUGGGGACUCAGUGGAGACCGCCGGGGUCAACUCGGAGGAAGGUGGGGAUGACGUCAAGUCCUCAUACCCCUUAUGUCCAGGGCUUCACGCAUGCUACAAUGGCUGGUACAGAGAGUGGCGAGCCUGUGAGGGUGAGCGAAUCUCGGAAAGCCGGUCUCAGUUCGGAUUGGGGUCUGCAACUCGACCUCAUGAAGUCGGAGUCGCUAGUAAUCGCAGAUCAGCAACGCUGCGGUGAAUAAGGUCCCGGG